rnacentral:rRNA from 1 species
GACAGAGGUGCCGAGCGUUAGGCGGAAUCACUGGGCUUAAAGCGUGUGUAGGCGGACCGUUAAGUACCUUGUGAAAUCCCACGGCUCAACCGUGGAACGGCUGGGUAUACUGGCGGUCUUGGGCCACCUAGGGGCAACUGGAACAAGCGGUGGAGCGGUGAAAUGCGUAGAUAUCGCUUGGAACGCCAACGGUGAAAACAGGUUGCUGGGGGUGUGCUGACGCUGAGACACGAAAGCCAGGGGAGCGAACGGG